CCACCGGCGGACGGCUCAGUAACACGUCGGUAACCUACCCUCGGGAGGGGGAUAACCCCGGGAAACUGGGGCUAAUUCCCCAUAGGCCUGAGGUACUGGAAGGUCCUCAGGCCGAAAGGGACUUAUGUCCGCCCGAGGAUGGGCCGGCGGCCGAUUAGGUAGUUGGUGGGGUAAUGGCCCACCAAGCCGAAGAUCGGUACGGGCUGUGAGAGCAGGAGCCCGGAGAUGGACACUGAGACACGGGUCCAGGCCCUACGGGGCGCAGCAGGCGCGAAACCUCCGCAAUGCGGGAAACCGCGACGGGGGGACCCCGAGUGCCGUGGCAACGCCACGGCUUUUCCGGAGUGUAAAAAGCUCCGGGAAUAAGGGCUGGGCAAGGCCGGUGGCAGCCGCCGCGGUAAUACCGGCGGCCCGAGUGGUGGCCGCUAUUAUUGGGCCUAAAGCGUCCGUAGCCGGGCCCGUAAGUCCCUGGCGAAAUCCCACGGCUCAACCGUGGGGCUUGCUGGGGAUACUGCGGGUCUUGGGACCGGGAGAGGCGGGGGGUACCCCUGGGGUAGGGGUGAAAUCCUAUAAUCCCAGGGGGACCGCCAGUGGCGAAGG
rnacentral:rRNA from 1 species